UAGGCGACGCGACCAGACGACGCGACGGCACGACGGCUCCUUGCGUCGUUUUCUUCGUAAUGACGACAUCCAGAGAGUCCCCUUGUUGCGGUCUGAGCACCAGUCUGGUGUUUUCCUGCGUGUUUCUUGAGUUCGUUGUAUAGUAAUCAUGCCUAACUCUACAGACUCAACGGUUCCUGUCUUUAUAUCUGUGGACCAUACACUCGUAUUCGGGAAAUAAAAAGGAGGGACAAAGAGUGGCAUUUGCGAAGAUGUCAAGAAAGUAACUACUUUGGUUCCCUAGAUCAUUUACUGAAAGCUGAGACUGCCUAUUCUGUUUCUUUUGUAUCAUUUUCAAAAUACAUGUAGUGGACUCGGUGAGCUUGCAUGCCAUAUAGUAAAAAGAUUAUUAUCAUAGAUUUCACCGUUCACAUUAUGCUAUUGUGUGCAGGUUACUUUUUUGGUGGGUUCGGCUGUUUAAUCCCAUUGUCGGUAAUUGGUUUCUUAACAGCUAUUCUGUGAUGUGCCAUCAGUGUAUACUCGGUCAUUGAUUUUCUAGUAUGAAGACUUGGAGUGGAAUGAGUGGGUUGAAAUUCAAGAGGAGUAAAUUUGCAGGUUUUCUGCGGAUCGAUUUAGCUAUCGUGUGGUUGAACAGAAUAUGCACUCACUUAAAAAAAAGCCAUUUACUGACAGUUUGGUCAGUGCCAUCUCAUUUUGCAUAGUCUUGUCUUAUUCUCUCUGUCAUACCUAACCUUGUUCACACACUGCAGAACCAGAAGUGGGAAAGGGUCCUGCAGAGGAGCGUGAUAAAACCGAGAAAGAAAAGCUCCGGGUUAUAUGUACAUGUGUCUACGCUAGGAUUUUCUGUUGCCUCAGUGUUCUGCUGUUUUGAGACCACAUGACUUGUGAAAUUAAAUACUAAAUUAUGACAUCUUCUUUCACCUCAGAGACAAGCCACCCCUGCCAAAAUGCCCUUGACCACCGUGGGUGCAGGUAUGGUUUAGUUAAUAGGGUUACAAUCUCUGUCUAGGCCAAUCUGCGUGUGUUUGGAGAAGAGGUGCAUGCAUGUUGAUGUAUUGGCUUGUAUCAUGAGCUUGUUUCAGUCCGGUUACAGAGGGGUGGCGGUGUGAGAUUUGUAACAUUUUAGUGAGACAUUACAUACAGCAACCUGCAGAACAAGAUCAUUCCACUGUAUUUUUUUCCUGAGGGAAGUCAAGGACCAAAGGAUAAUAUGGAAAUAGAGCUCGCAAACGGCCAAGGGCACAGUAUACCAGAAGAGGAGUUUGUAGACAGAUUAAUUGAAGAGAAGGGGUUGAAAACAAGGAUUUACCUGAAAACAAAGAAAUCAGAGCCAAGCAGACAUCCCCCAGCCUGACAUUUCUAUUUCUAGUGAAGUCUCCGGACCUGACUCAGUGGCUGCUGUGGUCAUCAUUGAUGACAGCUCUGCCGCAGAAGAAACUGUAGGGCAGGAUGACAGCCUUCCCGUUACAUUCGAUGAAGCAGACACACCCACGGUUCUCUUCAGGAAGACAGGAGGUACAAGUCAACCGCAGCAAGUUCAGGCUGAUGCUUCUCAAGCCUUCCAACAGCGGUGCACCUCCUAAUCCAUAUUCACCCAGUUCAAAGUGUGCCAUCUGUUGUGACAGAGACAAGCAGUCUUUUUUAUUCCUUGUGGCACUUCUUGUGCACAGUCAGUUCAAGUGCCGUGGAAAUGAACGGUAGUCCAUGCCCAUUUUGCAUGAUAUAAAUCACAAAAAUCGGGAAUAUUUUUAAACACAACUGAUACACAAUUUGAAGCAAAGCUCAAUAUUUAACAUAAAGAACUAAGAAUUUUAAUUCUUUGCUUUUUAUGAUACUCUGUUAUGACAUGUAAGUUCUCGAUUGAUGCUUAAAUGUCCAAGGUUUGGAGUGGGUUCAAAUUUAUUUUUAGAUGUUUGAAUAAUCUGUAUUCACCGAUCACUAAUCUUCUCAAUGCACGGUCAGUGUUUGUGUUUCAUCUGCAGCAUUAUCAAUAUGGGUAUCCUGGUAUAUAAAGCUAGGAGGAAACUAAGUCAGUUAAUUGCUACCACCUUGCAUAUAUUGAAAUCACUAUUAUUAAAAGCACGAAAUUAUUUUCACAUAGGUCUAUGUGCAUUUCCCUCAUUGUUCCAUGCAUUUUAACAUACACAAAUUGGUUUAUAAUUUUUGAUUAUGUUGUUGAACUGUUCCUACUUGGUUUUGAAUAAUGUAUACGUUCUACAUUAUACUAACUCCAGUUAUAUAAAGUGCUUGUAUAAUAGUUACACUUCGGCAGCUGUGUCUUAAUGUUUUUUAGCAUUUCUCACUGUGUAUUUUAUCAAAAAGUUGUUAACUUUUUAAAUGUGUGAGAGUCAAUACUGACACUUAGGCAUGAGAAAACCAGUGUCAUUUGCUGAUUUAUAAAGGAAACUGACGGUUGUAGGAAGAGACAAAUUAUUUUUCUGUCACAUCAUCAUGAAUAACUAAAAGGAGCACCAAUUUGAACCAAUUAUUUCACAAUAUUUUUGUGACAUUUCCUCCCACUUUGAUAUUAUUGUACAAUUGAAACCAUUCACAUCAUGUCUUUUCUGAGAUUUUUUUCCCUUGGCCCUUUUCCCCUUGCUUGUACACAAUCACACAAACAAAGGAUGGGUCAAACCACCAGAGUAACAGGCAUGUUUUCCUUAAAUAUCCACGCAGGUCAU
rnacentral:lncRNA from 1 species